rnacentral:rRNA from 1 species
GAUGAACGCUAGCGGCAGGCUUAAUACAUGCAAGUCGAACGGUAGCGGGUCCAGCAAUGGAUGCCGGCGAGUGGCGCACGGGUGCGUAACACGUAUGCAACCUACCUUUAACCGGGACAUAACCUCGAGAAAUCGUGGCUAAUAUUCCAUAAUAUCUUUGAAUCGCAUGGUUUGAAGAUCAAAAUUCCGAUGGUUUUAGAUGGGCAUGCGCGACAUUAGCUAGUUGGUGAGGUAAUGGCUCACCAAGGCUACGAUGUUUAGGGGGUCUGAGAAGAUGAUCCCCCACACUGGUACUGAGACACGGACCAGACUCCUACGGGAGGCAGCAGUAAGGAAUAUUGGGCAAUGGGCGCAAGCCUGACCCAGCCAUGCCGCGUGCAGGAUGACAGCCCUACGGGUUGUAAACUGCUUUUAUACGGGAAAAAACCCUCUGACGUGUCAGAGGCUGAUGGUACCGUAAGAAUAAGCAUCGGCUAACUCCGUGCCAGCAGCCGCAGUAA